rnacentral:rRNA from 1 species
CGUACUUGUACUGAUUGAGAUUUUAACACGAAGUGAGUGGCGAACGGGUGAGUAACACGUGGGUAACCUGCCCAGAAGUAGGGGAUAACACCUGGAAACAGAUGCUAAUACCGUAUAACAGAGAAAACCGCAUGGUUUUCUUUUAAAAGAUGGCUCUGCUAUCACUUCUGGAUGGACCCGCGGCGUAUUAGCUAGUUGGUGAGGUAAAGGCUCACCAAGGCAGUGAUACGUAGCCGACCUGAGAGGGUAAUCGGCCACAUUGGGACUGAGACACGGCCCAGACUCCUACGGGAGGCAGCAGUAGGGAAUCUUCCACAAUGGACGCAAGUCUGAUGGAGCAACGCCGCGUGAGUGAAGAAGGGUUUCGGCUCGUAAAGCUCUGUUGUUAAAGAAGAACGUGGGUAAGAGUAACUG